rnacentral:rRNA from 1 species
GACGAACGCUGGCGGCGUGCUUAACACAUGCAAGUCGAACGGUGAACCAGAGCUUGCUCUGGGGAUCAGUGGCGAACGGGUGAGUAACACGUGGGCAACCUGCCCCAGACUCUGGGAUAACCUCGGGAAACCGAUGCUAAUACCGGAUACGACCACUUCGGACAUCCGACGGUGGUGGAAAGUUUUUCGGUCUGGGAUGGGCCCGCGGCCUAUCAGCUAGUUGGUGGGGUAAUGGCCUACCAAGGCGACGACGGGUAGCCGGCCUGAGAGGGCGACCGGCCACACUGGAACUGAGACACGGUCCAGACUCCUACGGGAGGCAGCAGUGGGGAAUAUUGGGCAAUGGGCGAAAGCCUGACCCAGCGACGCCGCGUGGGGGAAGAAGGCCUUCGGGUUGUAAACCCCUUUUGCAGAGGACGACUAAAGACUGUACUCUGCGAAUAAGCCACGGCUAACUCUGUGCCAGCAGCCGCGGUAAGAGUACUCUAU